CUUUGAGGUUGUUAGCGAUUCCUCAGUCCUCACUCUCCUGCCACUGUCACCGCCGCCUCCAUCGCGCCUGCUCUCCUCUCCCCUCUCGCAUGGCAGAGGUGCGGCGCAAGGAGGUCACCUCCUCCGAGGCUAGGAGGCCACAUCGAGCUGCUGAGCUGGAGGCGCGAGGCCAAAGCGAUUCCCAGGCGCGGAGAGACAGCGGCCGCGUCGAACCCGUCGCUGAUGAGCGCUGCCACGCGCUCCCCCUGCCGCAGCAUCACCCUCGCCGCCUUUCCUUUCCUGUUCCUCUCCCCUCGUGCGCAGAGUGGAGGAGGAGAUGAAGCGCAGAUGUGCGGGCGGCCAUGGUAGUGGCAUGGUGCUGCUGCUGGGCUGGAGCUGCAGAUGCUCGAGGAUGCCCCAUAGUGUUCGAUGAAAUGCUCGUUCGGAACGCUGUGACCUUCCUGUUGUCUGGCAAGGGUGUCCGGUGUUACUUUAGCUUUUCCUUACAUCUCUACUGUUCUGUUUGGUUUGGUCGCUUAUCAUGUUAAAUUUUGCAGCUUUUCAAAGGAAACACUACCUGUGGGUUGUAUUCAGGCCAAGACAAGAUCAAUGUGCUACAGUUACAGAGCCAGUACAUAAUACAGUGUGUCGCGCACAGGAGAAAGAGAAGGAAGAACAGAAUGGCUCAGACCAGCAAAAUGAGGUGCAAGAAGUCCAUUGAAGUAGCCUGCUAAGAUCAUGCAACAAGCUGCAGCAACUAGAGGUAUUCCAGGGUCCCCCGACAUGGGCUUUCAACCUGAAGCUCUUGAAGAAAGACAACUGGGAGAUGCAUUCUGUCACACUCUGCUCGGUGCUGAAGCUACUGCAGUUGCUACCAAUCCUGCUGCUGUAACAACUGAAGCUGCUGCUCUUGCUACCAGUUCUGCCAUCGGAUCUGCUGAAGCUACUGAAAAUGGUAUCAAUGCUGCUACCAUGCCUGGAAAUCAUUGGCGGAGCGACUCAAUUGUUGGGGUUCCCUCUGGCAGGUUUUUCUAUUUCGUUGCCGGACAAACUCUCAUUCAAGAUAUGCAGUGUGAAGGUUCAUUGGUAGUUGCUAUCCGGGGGGAGGCGAUUGGUGCUGGUCUAUGGCCAGGCAACAUCGCCCCCACUAAUAUAAGCAGGACAUGAACAAAAGGUUUCAUGUCAGCCUGAGCAGAAGGCUGCCUAGUUUCUGAUGACAGAGUGAUGCCUGGUUCAAGCUGUUUAUCAACGAGGAUACCUGCCUUUUCUCAGCUUUUGUAUACUCUUGUGGAUACCUGCCCUUUCUCAGCUUUUGUUUGCUCCUGAUGUGUUAGUGUUGCCCAGUCAGCUGCUUCAACGAGGAUUUGUUCUUGCAACAUGGAUUCAUUUGUAUAAGUAAAGUUCUGAUUCUUGUCUAACCGCAUGCUAUCAGUUUAGACUGCUGAAAAAUCAUUUUAUAUGGUCGUUCUAGGUUCAAUUUUCAAAAGUACAUCCUAAGGUCCUUGGAGGAUGAAUUAAAUAUAGUUGUUAGCAUAAGGUAAGAAAUGUGCAUAAUUACUUACUGCUUUACUCAUUUGUAUCAUCAAUUAAUUUACUAGGUCUGCCCUUAUGGGCUUCUGCUGUGUAUGUCAUGCUCUUCAAUGGCCAUUGCAAAUUAUAUUUUUUUCAUAUUCUAGAAAAUUAUUGUAGGCAUUCUCUGUUUUCAAAUUAAACUAUCAGAUCACACAUAAAUUAGAGCUCACACUCCAAAUGUUCGGCCACUUAUAUGUGAUUUGGCGGGAUAUAGUUUCUGGGGCACAUGGGUGGUCUGCAGAAACGAUGCUAGUUUAUUUUUAUUUUGAUUUUGCUUUGUCUAGGAUGGCACAACUUAUUCUGGCUUUCUAUGAUUCCCCUUGUAGUAAGUGCUUAUAGUAUUUGUGUAUUAUCCCUUUUGUGGUAAAGGUUUUGUUUGGCUGAUGUUAAAGGCGCUUUCCUAUCUGUAAGUGAUUGGCUAUAAUUGCUAUGAUGGCUAUUGAAAUUAGUAAUUACAGAGAGGCAUACCAGUGAUAAAAUGUGAUGACCAUCUGGUUUGGAAGCCUCGUCUGGUUCUCCAUCUCAUCCAUUUCAGGUCAGCAAGGGCCCAAAAGGUAUCUCGGCAACUAGCAUGUUAGCUUGAACACAAAGCAUCCAGACAACCUAUACAUGGCGCUUUGAACCCUGAGUUGGGUGCAUUGAUCAAAUUAUGAAUUUUAUCAACAAUUAUGAUGAGAUAAGCAGACGAUUACAUUUCAUUUGCUGUAUAGUGAGUUUUGUCUCCAUUCUUCUAUAUGUACUUGGGAAAAUAAAAAGAAGGUCGCAAAUUCUUUAAAAAAAAUCCCUGCAGAGUGCAUUUGAAAUUGCAUCUUUUGGGUUUGGGUAAGAUUGCUUUAGAGGCUUGGAAACAUCUUCUGUGGCAAAUUUGUAGUCUGUGUGAAGACUUUGCUUAUGACAAACAUAUGUGCAUUACGAAUUUGGCCUGAGGUCCUGCUUCAGUGACAACUUUGAGUUUAUCGUUGCAAGUGUCUGUUGUUUUAGGGUUUAGAAAAUUCUACUUAUUAACCAAUUUCAUUCUUUAUUUUACAGUGCUAUUGUCCAAUUUAUGUGCAGCUAAUGUCACCCUUCCACUCUAUGCCCUUGUAUCUAAGAUGGUAUCGCCUGAUCAGUGAUCACAAGAGAACAAAUUUUCGCCAAGCAGACAAUGAAGGCCCUGAAGAAAUGGCACAAGGCCGUCGCGAAAGAAGCAGAACCAGAAGGAACCAUGAGAAAAGGAGAUAAAAGGGUAGAAAGCUGCUGUCGGGCUAAUGCAAUCGCCUUAAUAGGAAUGCAAUUACAGUACAAUAUUUCUCAAAUUAGGACUAAAUCUUAAUAAAAAACCAUGAUGCCUAAGGGUCUGUCGGAUUCUCAGCUCAAGUUUAGAGGUCUAAAAUUUAUUUAGGACUAAACUUUAGACAUCUAAACUUUAGCCACGAGCUCUAAAAACUUUAGGGCACUUUGGCUCACUUUAGCCACUAAACUUUAGAUGCUUUUGAUGAUAUACAGUUUCUUGAAAAAAUAUUGCAUGAAA